UGGUAUUCAUAUUGUUGGUGUUGUACACUUGCGUUAAGUUGGGGAUUGCAACAACUUGUAUGUCGAUUUAGGAAUAAGUAUGAGAUGUAGAUAACCCUAUUUUUUCUUAAAAGACAGUUGUAGCAGCAUUCAAAUGCAUUAAGCCCCGAAUAGGGAAACAUGGAUACAGAGGUUAUAUAGUUGACCGAACUUAUUUCGAAUUGAAGCAUAGUUGAUUGAUUGAUUUUCAUAUGCUCCGGGAUUCCAGUAGAUAAAGGUGGGUAGACUUUAAAAUCCAAAAGAAACGCUUCAACUCUUCAACCGUCUCUCCAUUCUCCCCUUCACAGUAAUUUGCUCUAGAUUGCUAUCUCACGUGCAGUUUCCAUAGCUUUUCAACGUCGAAGAUCCCCAUGGUGUGAACCACCUGUAGAUUCACAUAGUCAGGUACCACCAUCUAGUAGCUGUCUUAACUCUUCCCAAUCCAAUGUUUGGCAAAUACAAAAAUAAUUUAAAAUAAGUCAAAAAUGACUUAAAAUAAGUUAGGAAGUGUUUGGCAAGGUUAAAAAUAACUUAAAAUAAGUUUAAAAUAAGUCAAAAACCAAAAGUAGGUCUCCCCCUACUUUUUAUUUUUUGACUUAAAAGCUACUUUUUUUAAGUCAAUCCAAACGGGCUCUUAGAGUUAUUUUUUUCCAUUAUAGGGGUGUCAUUCUUUUUCUCCAUAAAUUUCUUUGCCUUUUGUCUGGGGGAAAAGGACGGGUGAAAAUAACAUAAGAAAAUUUAGUGUACUCCAGAGGACUUGGUGUAUGGGCAAUGAAUUUACCUACCUGUCUUUAGUCAAUGUUGAUGUCAUUUUAUUGCAUUUCUUGCUUUAGUUAUGCUGAUUCCAUGCUAAUGCUAAGUUACUUGUUGCAGAUCAAAAAAUCAAUCACUGUCGGCGUCAUUGGUCUGCCAAAUGUUGGUAAAAGUAGCC
rnacentral:lncRNA from 1 species